UGGGGAAUAUUGCGCAAUGGGCGAAAGCCUGACGCAGCAACACCGCGUGAGGGAUGACGGCCUUCGGGUUGUAAACCUCUUUCAGCUCCGACGAAGCGAAAGUGACGGUAGGAGCAGAAGAAGCACCGGCUAACUACGUGCCAGCAGCCGCGGUAAUACGUAGGGUGCAAGCGUUGUCCGGAAUUAUUGGGCGUAAAGAGCUCGUAGGCGGUCCGUUGCGUCUGCCGUGAAAACCCGGAGCUCAACUCCGGGCCUGCGGUGGAUACGGGCGGACUAGAGUCCGGUAGGGGAGACUGGAAUUCCUGGUGUAGCGGUGGAAUGCGCAGAUAUCAGGAGGAACACCGGUGGCGAAGGCGGGUCUCUGGGCCGGAACUGACGCUGAGGAGCGAAAGCGUGGGG
rnacentral:rRNA from 1 species